CCUACGGGUGACAGCAGUGAGGAAUAUUGGUCAAUGGACGCAAGUCUGAACCAGCCAUGCCGCGUGCAGGAAGACGGCUCUAUGAGUUGUAAACUGCUUUUGUACGGGGGUAAACGCAGAUACGCGUAUCUGUCUGAAAGUAUCGUACGAAUAAGGAUCGGCUAACUCCGUGCCAGCAGCCGCGGUAAUACGGAGGAUUCAAGCGUUAUCCGGAUUUAUUGGGUUUAAAGGGUGCGUAGGCGGUCGGAUAAGUUAGAGGUGAAAUCCCGAGGCUCAACUUCGGAAUUGCCUCUGAUACUGUUAGGCUAGAGAGUAGUUGCGGUAGGCGGAAUGUAGGGUGUAGCGGUGAAAUGCUUAGAGAUUAUACAGAACACCGAUUGCGAAGGCAGCUUACCAAGCUACUUCUGACGUUGAGGCACGAAAGCGUGGGGAGCAAACAGGAUGAGAUACCCUAGUAGUC
rnacentral:rRNA from 1 species